rnacentral:rRNA from 1 species
AGAGUUUGAUCAUGGCUCAGGAUGAACGCUAGCGGCAGGCUUAACACAUGCAAGUCGAGGGGUAACGGAGAAAGCUUGCUUUCAGACGACGACCGGCGCACGGGUGAGUAACGCGUAUGUAACCUACCCAUAACUUGGGGAUAGCCCAGAGAAAUUUGGAUUAAUACCCAAUAAUAUUUUAAGAAGGCAUCUUCUUAAUCUUAAAAUUCCGAUGGUUAUGGAUGGACAUGCGUAGUAUUAGAUUGAUGGUGAGGUAACGGCUCACCAUAUUGACGAUGAUGGCUACGGGGUCUUAAAGGAUGGUCCCGCACACUGGUACUGAGACACGGACCAGACUCCUACGGGAGGCAGCAGUGAGGAAUAUUGGUCAAUGGAGGCAACUCUGAACCAGCCAUGCCGCGUGAAGGAAGACUGCCCUAUGGGUUGAAAACUUCUUUUUUACGGGAAGAACACGUUUCGUUUUGGAAACACUGACGGUACCGUAUGAAUAAGCAUCGGCUAACUCCGUGCCAGCAGCCGCGGUAAUACGGAGGAUGCAAGCGUUAUCCGGAUUUAUUAGGUUUAAAGGGUGCGUAGGCUGAAAAUUAAGUCAGUGGUGAAAUCUUGUAGCUUAACUACAAAACUGCCAUUGAUACUGGUUUUCUUGAGUAUAGUUGAGGUAGGCGGAAUGUGUAGUGUAGCGGUGAAAUGCAUAGAUAUUACACAGAACACCAAUUGCGAAGGCAGCUUACUAAACUAUAACUGACGCUGAUGCACGAAAGCGUGGGUAGCGAACAGGAUUAGAUACCCUGGUAGUCCACGCCGUAAACGAUGAUUACUCGUUGCAUGCGAUACACUGUAUGUGACUUAGCGAAAGCAUUAAGUAAUCCACCUGGGGAGUACGUUGGCAACAAUGAAACUCAAAGGAAUUGACGGGGGCCCGCACAAGCGGAGGAACAUGUGGUUUAAUUCGAUGAUACGCGAGGAACCUUACCUGGACUUAAAUGUAGCGUGACUUUCCCUGAAAGGGGAUUUCUUCGGAGCAAGUUACAAGGUGCUGCAUGGCUGUCGUCAGCUCGUGCCGUGAGGUGUCGGGUUAAGUCCCAUAACGAGCGCAACCCCUAUUGUUAGUUGCUAACAGGUCAAGCUGAGGACUCUAGCGAGACUGCCACCGUAAGGUGUGAGGAAGGUGGGGAUGACGUCAAGUCAGCACGGCCCUUACGUCCAGGGCUACACACGUGUUACAAUGGCCAGUACAAAGGGCAGCUACCGGGUAACCGGAUGCGAAUCUCUAAAGCUGGUCUCAGUUCGGAUUGAAGUCUGCAACUCGACUUCAUGAAGCUGGAAUCGCUAGUAAUCGCGCAUCAGCAACGGCGCGGUGAAUACGUUCCCGGGCCUUGUACACACCGCCCGUCAAGCCAUGGGAGUUUGGGGUACCUGAAGUCCGUAACCGCAAGGAUCGGCCUAGGGUAAAACAAGUGACUGGGGCUAAGUCGUAACAAGGUAACCGUA